CUACGGGCCGCUGCAGUGGGGAAUCUUAGACAAUGGGCGCAAGCCUGAUCUAGCCAUGCCGCGUGAGCGAUGAAGGCCUUAGGGUUGUAAAGCUCUUUCAGCGAGGAAGAUAAUGACUGUACUCGCAGAAGAAGCCCCGGCUAACUCCGUGCCAGCAGCCGCGGUAAUACGGAGGGGGCUAGCGUUGUUCGGAAUUACUGGGCGUAAAGCGCACGUAGGCGGACUGGAAAGUCAGGGGUGAAAUCCCGGGGCUCAACCCCGGAACUGCCUUUGAAACUGCCAGUCUUGAGUUCGAGAGAGGUGAGUGGAAUUCCGAGUGUAGAGGUGAAAUUCGUAGAUAUUCGGAGGAACACCAGUGGCGAAGGCGGCUCACUGGCUCGAUACUGACGCUGAGGUGCGAAAGCGUGGGGAGCAAACAGGAUUAGAUACCCGGGUAGUC
rnacentral:rRNA from 1 species